rnacentral:rRNA from 1 species
GACGAACGCUGGCGGCGUGCUUAACACAUGCAAGUCGAACGGAAAGGCCCUGCUUGCAGGGUACUCGAGUGGCGAACGGGUGAGUAACACGUGGGUGAUCUGCCCUGCACUUCGGGAUAAGCCUGGGAAACUGGGUCUAAUACCGGAUAGGAGCCAUUUUUAGUGUGAUGGUUGGAAAGUUUUUUCGGUGUAGGAUGAGCUCGCGGCCUAUCAGCUUGUUGGUGGGGUAAUGGCCUACCAAGGCGGCGACGGGUAGCCGGCCUGAGAGGGUGGACGGCCACAUUGGGACUGAGAUACAGCCCAGACUCCUACGGGAGGCAGCAGUGGGGAAUGUUGCACAAUGGGCGCAAGCCUGAUGCAGCGACGCCGCGUGGGGGAUGACGGCCUUCGGUUUGUAAACGCCUUUCGCUAGGGACGAAGCUUUUUGUGACGGUACCUAGAGAAGAAGCACCGGCUAACUACGUG